GACGAACGCUGGCGGCGUGCCUAAUACAUGCAAGUUGAGCGCUGAAGGUUGGUACUUGUACCAACUGGAUGAGCAGCGAACGGGUGAGUAACGCGUGGGGAAUCUGCCUUUGAGCGGGGGACAACAUUUGGAAACGAAUGCUAAUACCGCAUAAAAACUUUAAACACAAGUUUUAAGUUUGAAAGAUGCAAUUGCAUCACUCAAAGAUGAUCCCGCGUUGUAUUAGCUAGUUGGUGAGGUAAAGGCUCACCAAGGCGAUGAUACAUAGCCGACCUGGGAGGGUGAUCGGCCACAAUGGGACUGAGAAACGGCCCAAACUCCUACGGGAGGCAGCAGUAGGGAAUCUUCGGCAAUGGACGAAAGGCUGACCGAGCAACGACGCGGGAGUGAAGAAGGUUUUCGGAUCGUAAAACUCUGUUGGUAGAGAAGAAAGUUGGUGAGAGUGGAAAGCUCAUCAAGUGACGGUAACUACCCAGAAAGGGACGGCUAACUACGUG
rnacentral:rRNA from 1 species